rnacentral:rRNA from 1 species
AGUGAACGUUGGCGGCGUGGAUUAGGCAUGCAAGUCGAGCGAGAACCGUAGCAAUACGGGGACAGCGGCGAAAGGGACAGUAAUGUGUAGGUACCUACCUCCGGGUUCGGGAUAGCUGCGGGAAACUGCAGGUAAUACCGAAUAACGUCUCCGGACCAAAGGUGUGAUUCCACCUGGAGAGGGGCCUGCAUCCUAUUAGCUUGUUGGCGGGGUAACGGCCCACCAAGGCGACGAUGGGUAGCGGGUGUGAGAGCACGACCCGCGUCAUUGGGACGCGGACACUGCCCAGACACCUACGGGUGGCUGCAGUCGUGAAUCUUCGGCAAUGGGCGCAAGCCUGACCGAGCGACGCCGCGUGCGGGAUGAAGGCCUUCGGGUUGUAAACCGCUGUCGUAGAGGAGGAAAUGCAGGGGGGUUCUCCCCUCUGUUUGACCUAUUCUAGGAGGAAGUACGGGCUAAGUUCGUGCCAGCCGCCGCGGUAA